rnacentral:rRNA from 1 species
AGGUAGUGACAAGAAAUAACAAUACGGGGCUUUAUGUCUUGUAAUUGGAAUGAUGGGAAUUUAAACCUCUUCCAGAGUAUCAAUUGGAGGGCAAGUCUGGUGCCAGCAGCCGCGGUAAUUCCAGCUCCAAUAGCGUAUAUUAAAAUUGUUGCAGUUAAAAAGCUCGUAGUUGAAUUUCUGCUGCAUUGCAUCUUCUUUUUGAUGAGUUGAUGUAUUGUGGCUUAUUUCGGAUGAUACUUGUAUUAUCCGGAUGAUUACUUUGAGAAAAUUAGAGUGCUCAAAGCAGGCUUUUGCCUUGAAUAGUUUAGCAUGGAAUAAUAAAGUAGGACUUUGGUUCUAUUUUGUUGGUUUUAGGUACCAAAGUAAUGGUUAAUAGGAACA